AGAGUUUGAUCCUGGCUCAGAUUGAACGCUGGCGGCAUGCCUUACACAUGCAAGUCGAACGGCAGCACGGGAGCAAUCCUGGUGGCGAGUGGCGAACGGGUGAGUAAUACAUCGGAACGUGCCCAGUAGUGGGGGAUAACCCGGCGAAAGCCGGACUAAUACCGCAUACGACCUACGGGUGAAAGCAGGGGAUCGCAAGACCUUGCGCUAUCGGAGCGGCCGAUGUCAGAUUAGCUUGUUGGCGGGGUAAAAGCCCACCAAGGCGACGAUCUGUAGCUGGUCUGAGAGGACGACCAGCCACACUGGGACUGAGACACGGCCCAGACUCCUACGGGAGGCAGCAGUGGGGAAUUUUGGACAAUGGGCGCAAGCCUGAUCCAGCCAUGCCGCGUGCGGGAAGAAGGCCUUCGGGUUGUAAACCGCUUUUGUCAGGGAAGAAACGCUCCGGAUUAAUACCUCGGAGUAAUGACGGUACCUGAAGAAUAAGCACCGGCUAACUACGUGCCAGCAGCCGCGGUAAUACGUAGGGUGCAAGCGUUAAUCGGAAUUACUGGGCGUAAAGCGUGCGCAGGCGGCUUUGCAAGACAGAUGUGAAAUCCCCGGGCUUAACCUGGGAACUGCAUUUGUGACUGCAUGGCUGGAGUGCGGCAGAGGGGGAUGGAAUUCCGCGUGUAGCAGUGAAAUGCGUAGAUAUGCGGAGGAACACCGAUGG
rnacentral:rRNA from 1 species